rnacentral:rRNA from 1 species
UACGUAGGGGGCAAGCGUUGUCCGGAAUCAUUGGGCGUAAAGAGCGCGUAGGCGGCCCAGUAAGUCCGCUCUGAAAGUCAGGGGCUCAACCCCUGAAUGCGGGUGGAUACUGCUGGGCUAGAGUCCGGAAGAGGCGAGUGGAAUUCCUGGUGUAGCGGUGAAAUGCGCAGAUAUCAGGAAGAACACCCGUGGCGAAGGCGGCUCUCUGGUACGUGACUGACGCUGAGACGCGAAAGCGUGGGGAGCGAACAGG